CUUUUCACGGCAUACUGUUCGUGCUAUGGAGAUGGGAAUUAUAAUCCAUUUGUCACUGUGAAUAUAGAGCUCGAAAUGAUUGCCCUGGAUUAACAGCAAGAAGGAGGGUAAGAUCAUGUGUGUGUAGCAAAUGGUAAACUAAGUUUACCACUUUUUUUCCUGUUUAUUCUAUUGCUCUGUUCCAAUAGUCCACCGGAUGUUGAUGAUGCUAGUAGACUUAAUGCCUAGCAUAGUUUAUUUUUAGAUGAGAAUGCUAAUUUUAAAUUGUUUUUAUUUGCUUCCAGUAUUAGUUGCCUUGGGAACUAUUACCACAAAAAGAUAGUCCAUAAGAAUAGCUGGAGGAAGAUAUACACUGGAUGCAGGAUUGCAUUCUCAGAGAAAAAUGAAGAAUUUUGUUACAUAUCAACUAGUUCCAUCAACUGGAAUACAACUCGUCUAUCAUUAUUGAGUAUUCACAACAUCUCCUGAGACAAUUUUCCAUCAAUGAAACAUGCAAAUCAGCUAGGAGGAAAGAAGAGUGAUCUUGGCAUCUGUUGCAGCACUCAGUUGACACAGUUAAGAGCGGUUUGGCAUGGAUGGUUCCUCUACAAGAAUGAAGGGGCAAAAUGUG